rnacentral:rRNA from 1 species
CCUACGGGAGGCAGCAGUGGGGAAUCUUGGACAAUGGGCGCAAGCCUGAUCCAGCCAUGCCGCGUGAGUGAUGAAGGCCCUAGGGUCGUAAAGCUCUUUCGCCUGUGAAGAUAAUGACGGUAGCAGGUAAAGAAACCCCGGCUAACUCCGUGCCAGCAGCCGCGGUAAUACGGAGGGGGUUAGCGUUGUUCGGAAUUACUGGGCGUAAAGCGCGCGUAGGCGGACUAUUAAGUCAGAGGUGAAAUCCCGGGGCUCAACCCCGGAACUGCCUUUGAUACUGGUAGUCUUGAGUUCGAGAGAGGUAAGUGGAAUUCCGAGUGUAGAGGUGAAAUUCGUAGAUAUUCGGAGGAACACCAGUGGCGAAGGCGGCUUACUGGCUCGAUACUGACGCUGAGGUGCGAAAGUGUGGGGAGCAAACAGGAUUAGAUACCCUGGUAGUCCACACCGUAAACGAUGAAUGCCAGUCGUCGGGUAGCAUGCUAUUCGGUGACACACCUAACGGAUUAAGCAUUCCGCCUGGGGAGUACGAUCGCAAGAUUGAAACUCAAAGGAAUUGACGGGG